AGAAAGAAAGAAAGAAAGAAAUUUUCCACUGCAGAAACUACCUUUUAAUUUCAAUUGCACUGAGGGUACCACACAAGCACACAACUUAAGGAUCAGUUUGCCUUUAACAAGAUAAUUUGUUAAUCAUAAGAUAAAACACAUUGCACUCAAAAAGCAGCAGGCAACUCAAACUGGACAAAAUGAAGGCAAACAAUUGCUCAACUUCACCCCCGAAAUGAAAAUAAAUUUGAAAAGUUAUAGCGAGAAUAACUUGCAAAGGUCAAAUAAGUUUGAGUCAAGCAUUUUAUUUAAUUAUUUAUCAAAGAAAAAAAAAUCCUUCGAUAUAAGU
rnacentral:misc_RNA from 1 species